CUACUUUAAUAUUUAUUUUCUCUUCCCUUAACAUGUAUCAAAAACCUAAAAUUUUAAAUUUGAAUGGCAAAAAAAGGGUAACCCAGCAUUCAUUGUUCAGUUUGUAUAGUUGCUUCAAUGUCUUUAAUAUUUUCUGACAACUCCUCUUAUUCUCUUUCACUCUCAAUAGCGUUAUUCACUCUUUCAUUUCAAUUAAUUUUCUCCUUUUUUUUACCUGUUUUUCUAAUUUUUUAGUGAAUUUCAAAUUUUGAAUUUAACUGCCAUACAUCAUACGAAUCACUCUUAUUUAUAACCCCUUAAUUUUAUUAUUCACUGCAGUUUUGUGGUUGUUCCUGCAUUUUCUUAUUUUUCAAUUCGUUAUCGUGGUGGUGAUGGAGGGCGUUGUAAACAGAUAACAUAUUUGGAACAUUUAGAAGAUUCUCCAGUAAGCUUCUUGUGUGGUUGUAGUUGUUACGCUCGGUGAAGAGCAUGGUGGUGGAUACAGAAGAGGAGACAAUGGUGGUGGUGCUUGCUACAACUGUGGUGGGAUGGGUUACAUGGCCACGGAGGAGAAGGCAGUUCAUCUUUUUCUCUGCUGCUAACUGCUUUUUCCUCAUAGAGACUAACAUUUUGUCUUCCUCUUGCAUUUCGACUGCAAUGUGAGGAAUCCAACAUGGGCGUCGGUUAUGUAUAGGAAUCCAACAUGAGCAUCGGUUAUGUAUAGGAUCUUCAUAUGUAUCGUUUGCUCCGCUGUUUGUAGCAUCUUCGAAGUGCAUAUUAGCUUCCUCAGAAAAGUUUUUUUGCUAAUUGUUUAAAUCGUGAUGAUUUCAUGAUAAGUUUUUUCGUGGAUGUUGGCAUUAGAAAUCUAGUAAGACAAGUUAAACAGCUUGCUCUUCUUACUUGACACACUGGUAAGUAAGUGGAAUGCAUUUCAACUGUCUUGAAGAGGAGGGAAUGAGGGUUGUGUUCUUUAAGGUGUUAUAUAUGCAAUGUUUGUUCAUCUGAGCUCUGCCUCUACUAUUCAGUCAUCAUUUAUUUAUGGUAUUAUAAAUUUUGCCCUUUGGCUUUAAUGACUCUGACAAUUCCUUCCUUUAAUUUCUCUUUCAAUACUAACUAUUUCUUAUUCAUUCUCACCUACAUUUAUUUUCCACCUCUUCAAACAAGUAAAAAGAAUAUGAAAUUUCAAAUUUCAAUUUUGAAUUGAAAAAACAAGUAUAUUUAUAAUCUCCUCUUUUCAUUGUUUACUGUAUUCAGUCGUUCUUCUGGCGCUUGCUACAGCUGUGGUGGGAAUGAGCCAUAUGGCCAGGGAUUGCAACCAAGAAGGACGCAGAUGUGGAGGCAUGCACGACGAUGGUGGUGGCAGCGGAUCCGCUACAACUAUGGGGAUUCUGGGCAUUUUACAAGGGACUUCUAAAUAAGUUCUUUGAAAACAAGAUGUGUUUCGAUUGCAAUGUGAAGAAUCCAACAUGAGCGUCCGUUACGUAUGGCUUCUUCAUAUGCAUCGAUUGCUCCGCUGUUCAUCGCAGUCUAAGAGUGCAUAUCAGCUUUUGGUGAAAUUUAAAUUUCAUAUGGACUUUUCUCUUAUAUGGUACAAAUGGGGAUGGAUUUGCAAUUAGUAAAGCAACAGAUAAAAUUGAAGGCAUUCAUGGUAAGUCGCUAAAUGAAGGUGAAGUGGCAGCAGCUAUUGAAGAGAAAGAAACUCAUGCUUUUGAAAUUAAUCCUUCUCAGCUUGAGUUUACAUCAGAUGGUGAGAAAGACAUCUUUGAUAAAUAAGGUAUUCUUUAGUAUUUGAUUGUCUUCAAAAUUAUUUAUCUUUGUUGAUUCUUAUUAUAUUUUUUUUUUGUGAUUUGUUUUUGUAUAGUUUAACGGUAUACCAAGGAGCUACAUAUUCUUAUAUUUUCCUAAUAAAUAUAAUUUAGAAAUGUGAAUAAUAAGUUUAGCAAUUAGUAUAAAGAAACUAUUGGGGCAGAUUUUUUAUCAAAAGAGGUGCAAUAAGAAUAUAGGAUUUUCACCUUACAACUUUGUGAUUGGUAAUUAGUUGUACUCUUAUUUCUUUUUCCCCUUUCUUGGUGCUUCUGUGUGUGUGUUUGAGCAUAUUUAUAUGCAUCAGUUGGAUAACUAGAAAAUGUUAUGAAUUUUGGAAAUUUAGUUGACCAUUGAUAGAAAAAUAUUAUGUGUUGAAUUAUUAUAUGACCAUUUGUAUUUAGCUCCUCUUUAUUAGGCUUUGUGCAUUGUGCAUCCAAUUUUUUUAAAAAAAUAACCAUUUAUGUUUUUAAAAUGAUUUAGGACUAAGAAAUUCUUGAAAGACUUGCUCAUGUGAUUGAUAAAUUUAAUAUCAUUCGGUACUUGAGCAAUUAAGUGGAAAAGAAGAUUCUAUAUAUAUACGUGUUCUUUUUUAUUUGUUUUUGAAAGAGUUAUGUGCUAAUUUUGAUUUGCCUAUAUAUUAUAUUUUCAUUUU